GAAGAGGCAAGGCAGGACAGGAGGGCUCAGGUAAGGGAGACUAUGCAGGUGCAGGGGCAGGAGGAAAAGGAGCAGUUGGAGGCGAAAGAGACAAAGCCUCCUCAAUAUUUCUCAAUUCAGAAAAAGCAUCAGAUAUCCCCAGUUUAAAUCCUCAAUGGAGGCAAUUUUCUCAGUAGUUCUUUUAGAAAUUUCUAGGUAUCAUUGGAAGUAAGUCUCCCAUUCAAUUUGCCUGAUUCUAAAACCAAAUUUUUCCAAUUGUGUGCCCUAAUAAAUUAUUUUAGUCAUUUCAAAAGAUCCCCAUUUUCUCCAUUCUACUUAUGAGUUUUUCUGGUUAGGUGGGUCAGGUUUCUUGGAUAUUUACAAGAGGAUGCUUCAUAACUGUUAUACAGAAACUCAGCUGGUGGUUCUAAACGCGGUUGUUUCUUCAAAGUAUGCUCAGAUUUUGAAGCUUGAUUUCCCAUAAUUCAGGAGCUUUGCAAAGAUGACCAAAAUCUGGGAUGUGUUUUGGGUCACAGUGUCCUGCUUAUGUAGUCACUCCUACAGAUAUCACCGGAGUUGUGUAUCACUGUCUCAGUGGCUCCCACUGUUUCUAACCACCAGGUGGCCACAGAGUGCAUCUGCUCUGGGGGACCCAUCGCUCAUAUACCCUCCCAUAAGAGCAGGAAAGGGGAUUCAUAAAGACGUUCUUCUGAUGGGGAAUGCUCUACGAGGCCGCCUUCACAUGGUGAGUAGUGACCGUGACACCUCUGCAGCGUCCCUGGUCACUUGUAGCCCCUGAAAGGGUCAUCGGGAGCAGAUCACUUCUUUUCUUCAGGGCUGGAGAAAGUACCUCCGUGCAUUUUCCAGAGAAAGCACCUCUUCAAAGACACACACCGGAGACUGUCUCUUCCUGGACUGCAAACUGAUCUCACCAAUCAAAUUCUUACUACUAUGUAGCCACCCUGGAGGCCUUUGAGAGGACAGUCAGAUGGUCAGAGAUGAGUCGCUCUGCAUUCUGCUCCCUGGGCCAAAAACGUCGACCUAGAAGGAAGGGGCUUAAGCACAAACAUGAUUUAAAAAGUUUGUUUGAGCCAAUGUGAGGACACUUGCCUGGAAGACUCAGAUCCAAGCAAUCUUGGAUGUGGGCUCCAUUUGCCCUUUGUUACAAGCAGGUUUCUAAAGACCAAAAAGGGAGACGGGGAGUUGGCUGGUACAAAAUUGCCUGUCAGGAACUCCCUGAAGUUUACAGAAAUAACAUUGAUUAAUGAUUAGCUAUACAUUGUUCAGCUACAGGGAGUGAGAGAUGGUGUCCAGUGCAGCAUGUUUAGGUUGCUUUAUAGCCACUUGUGAUGAUAGCAAGCUGUUUUAAUAGAUGAAUACACGGCUUCAAAACAGGGACAUAAGACGUUGUUGCUGUCUCAUUUUAAUGCCUAACUCUGGGCUUGUUAAUUUGAAAGCACUCACUUUCCUCACAUAAAAUUUCUUUUCUUUCCUCAGACAUUUGAAUUCUUUAUAGUUUAGGAAUAUUUUGAAUAAAUAUGUAUUUGUUUUACAUGUCUUUGGUAAACCAUAUUCACGUUUCUCUAGAAAUAGAAAUUCCAAUAGAAAUAUAAUGCCAGGCAUAUACGUACUUUUAAAUGUAUUAGUAGACAUGUUUUAAAAAGUAAAAAGAAAGAGGUGAAAUUAUUUUUUAUAAUAUAUAUUCAACUAAAUAUAUUUAAGGUAUUAUCAUUACCCCAUGUGACACUAGCAAGAUUUCAAGUGUUCAAUAGCUACCCGUGGUUUGUGGCUAUCAUAUUGGAAAGCACAAGUCUAUGGGGUAGAAAAGUUGAAUUUCUGGGUCAUAGCAUAUAUGUAUGUGUGUUUUACCACUAGAAUAUACAGGCAAACAAUUUUCCAAAGUUUUUGAACUUAUUUAUACUCUUGCCAGAAAUGAAUAGAAGAUUAUAACGCUUCCGUUGUGCCAAAAUCUGGGAAUGUCUUUUUUUUUAAGUCAAGUUUACUGAGGUAUAAUUAAAACUCACCAGCGUUACAUGUUGUACGUGGUUCUCAGUGAUAUACUCUCUUUGCAAAGCUGGCUUUUGGUGGUAGCUUUGAUUUAAAAGCUAAUGCCACGUAAAAAAAUUCAAUACGUAGGGCCAGGCGAGGUGGCUCAUGCCUGUAAUUCUAGCACUUUGGAAGGAUGAGGUGGACGGAUCACUUGAGGUCAGGGGUUUGAGAUCAGCCUGGCCAAAAUGGUGAAACCCCAUUUCUACUAAAAAUACAAAAAUUAGCCAGGUGUGGUGGGGGGAACCUAUAGUCUCAGCUACUUGGGAGACUGAGGCAGGAGGAUCAUCUGAGCUCUGGAGGCUGAAGUUUCAGUGAGCUAUCAUUGCA
rnacentral:lncRNA from 10 species